UUUACUGAAUCCAUAGGGUCGAUGAAAGCAGAUGUUUCAGUUAGCAAUUAUACUCGAAAAAUUUCAAAUCAGGUAUAUACAGAAAGAAUUUUGAGUCUAGCUUCGAAUAAAUCAUACUUUGUAUGAAUCUGAGUUCACAGCAGAAAGUUAUAAGUAGUUAAGCAACAAGAGGUCAGAAAUUUCAGUCCCUGUUUUGCAGAAUCUGUAGGGUUAAUUUAAACAGA
rnacentral:lncRNA from 1 species